GAAAGGCCCAAACUAAUCUCCAAAAGAACAGUGCGGUUCACAGAUGGACUUUCACUCUGAGUAUUCAAAUGGACAGUAAGAUAAGCACAAAUCCGCGUGGCCACAAGAUGAGAUGAAGUGUCAUAUUUAUUAUAUUUAAUUGAUGUAUCAUAUCAUGAGAUGCUAAAAUGUCGUAUUUGAUUAGACAGUUAUAUACCAACUUGGUCAGACCUACAAUAUGAUAAGAUUCUUCAAAACAUUGACCAUACUCUCUUUU
rnacentral:lncRNA from 1 species